rnacentral:rRNA from 1 species
AGAUUAAGUUACUAAGGGCGUAUGGUGGAUGCCUUGGUAUCCGGAAGCGAUGAAAGACGCGGUUAGCUGCGAUAAGCAUUGGGGAGCUGCCUAACAAGCUAUGAUCCAGUGAUCUCUGAAUGGGAAAACCCACCGAGACAAAAUUUCGGUAUUUAUCUUUAAAUUCAUAGAAGAUAAAGGCGAACGAGGGGAACUGAAACAUCUAAGUACCCUCAGGAAAAGAAAACAAAUGUGAUUUCCUUAGUAGCGGCGAGCGAAAAGGAAAUAGCCCAAACCUUGUAUAAUUAUAGUCUGUAAGCGUUUUAUGCAAGGGGUAGCGAGAUGUCUUUACGAGCUUUACAGAGGCUCGAAGAAGUUACAAAAUUAAUUUGUAGUUGAACAAUCUGGAAAGGUUGAUCAGAGAGGGUGAUAAUCCCGUAAACGAAACGAAUUAAUCUUCUCAAGAUAUUCUCAAGUACUGCGGAACACGUGAAAUUUUGCAGGAAUUACGGAGGACCAUCUCCGAAGGCUAAAUAUUACCGGAUGACCGAUAGUGAACUAGUACCGUGAGGGAAAGGUGAAAAGCACCCCGAGAGGGGAAUGAAAUAGUAUCUGAAACCAUAUGUCUACAAUCAGUAGAAGCUCUAUGUUUAUUAGCAAUAAUAGACAGAGCGACUGCGUGCCUUUUGCAUAAUGAGUCAGCGAGUUAUUAUGUAUAGCAAGGUUAAGCCGUUAAUGGCGGAGCCGAAGCGAAAGCGAGUCUUAAUAGGGCGAAUUAGUUAUACGUAAUAGACCCGAAGCCAAGUGAUCUAUCCAUGGUCAGGAUGAAGCAGGAGUAAAAUCCUGUGAAGGUCCGAACACACUAACGUUGAAAAGUUAGGUGAUGAACUGUGGAUGGGGGUGAAAGGCCAAUCAAACUUGGAGAUAGCUGGUUCUCCUCGAAAUAUAUUUAGGUAUAGCCUCGUAAAUUAGUAACCGGGGGUAGAGCACUGGAUGAGCUAGGGGUCUUACCGGACUACCAAACUCAAUCAAACUCCGAAUACCGGUUAUGUUAUUACGGGAGUCAGACUGUAGGAGAUAACUUCUAUGGUCAAAAGGGAAACAACCCAGAUCGCCAGCUAAGGUCCCAAAAUUCAUGCUAAGUGGAAAAGGAUGUGGAAACGCAUUGACAACCAGGAGGUUGGCUUAGAAGCAGCCAUCCUUAAAAGAAAGCGUAAUAGCUCACUGGUCAAGUGAGUCCGCGCCUAAAAUGUACCGGGGCUAAGCAUGAUACCGAAGCUGCGACUAUGUAUGUAAAUACAUGGGGUAGAGGAGCAUUCCGACAACCGCUGAAGGUAGAUCGAAAGAACUGCUGGAGGAAUCGGAAGUGAGUAUGCUGACAUAAGUAGCGAGAAAAUAUGUGAAAAACAUAUUCGCCGUAAGUCUAAGGUUUCCUGAGCAAGGUUAAUCCUCUCAGGGUUAGUCGAUCCCUAAGUUGAGGCCGAAAGGCGUAGAUAAUGGGAAACGGGUUAAUAUUCCCGUACUGCAAUAUUAGCGUCACCAGCGAAGGGGGGACGCAGAAGGAUAGGUCGUCCUGCUGACGGAAUAGCAGGUUUAAGCAUGUAGAAUGAUACUUUGGAAAAUCCGGGUAUCUUAAGUUCGAGAUGCGAAUAGGAGAGGCGAAAGUCUCAUAAACCGAUUGAUUCCAUGCUGCCAAGAAAAUCCUCGUAGCGAGUUAAUAUUGUAAUCGUACCGCAAACCGACACAGGUAGACUGGGAGAGUAUCCUAAGGCGCUUGAGAUAACUCUGGUUAAGGAACUCGGCAAAUUGACACCGUAACUUCGGGAUAAGGUGUGCCUAUUUUAGUGAAAGAUUUACUCAGUAAGCUUUAAUAGGCUUCAAUGAAAUGGCGGUAGCGACUGUUUAAUAAAAACACAGGUCUCUGCAAAGUCGCAAGACGAAGUAUAGGGACUGACGCCUGCCCGGUGCCGGAAGGUUAAAAGGAGAGGUUAAUGCCGCAAGGUAUGAAGCUUUGAAUUGAAGCCCCGGUAAACGGCGGCCGUAACUAUAACGGUCCUAAGGUAGCGAAAUUCCUUGUCGGGUAAGUUCCGACCUGCACGAAUGGCGUAACGACUUCCGCGCUGUCUCAACCAGAGGCUCAGCGAAAUUGAAUUACCGGUGAAGAUGCCGGUUACCCGCAACUAGACGGAAAGACCCCAUGCACCUUUACUAUAGCUUGGCAUUGAAAUAUGGGACGAUAUGUGUAGGAUAGGUGGGAGACUGGGAAACCGCGGCGCUAGCCGUGGCGGAGUCAACCUUGAAAUACCACCCUUAUCUUUCUGUGUUUCUAACUACAAUCCGUAAUCCGGAUUUAGGACAAUGUCUGGUGGGUAGUUUGACUGGGGCGGUCGCCUCCUAAAGAGUAACGGAGGCGCGCUAAGGUUCCCUCAAGCUGAUUGGAAACCAGCUGUAGAGUGCAAAGGCACAAGGGAGCUUGACUGCAAGACUGACGGGUCGAGCAGGUACGAAAGUAGGUCUUAGUGAUCCGGUGGUCCCUCAUGGGAGGGCCAUCGCUCAACGGAUAAAAGGUACGCUGGGGAUAACAGGCUGAUCUCCUCCAAGAGCUCAUAUCGACGAGGAGGUUUGGCACCUCGAUGUCGGCUCAUCACAUCCUGGGGCUGUAGCAGGUCCCAAGGGUUUGGCUGUUCGCCAAUUAAAGUGGUACGCGAGCUGGGUUUAGAACGUCGUGAGACAGUUCGGUCCCUAUCUGUUGUGGGCGUAGGAAAUUUGAAGGGAGCUGUCCUUAGUACGAGAGGACCGGGAUGGACGAACCUCUAGUGUUCCAGUUAUCACGCCAGUGGUAAUGGCUGGGUAGUUAUGUUCGGAAGGGAUAACCGCUGAAAGCAUCUAAGUGGGAAGCCCCCCCUAAGAUUAGAUUUCCCCUGUGGCAACACAGCUAAAGAUCCCUCAUAGACUAUGAGGUUGAUAGGUCGGGUGUGUAAGCGCAGUAAUGUGUUUAGCUUACCGAUACUAAUAGAUCGUGAGGCUUAAUCAUUUUAU